rnacentral:rRNA from 1 species
GACGAACGCUGGCGGCGUGCUUAACACAUGCAAGUCGAACGAUGAUGCCAGCUUGCUGGUGGAUUAGUGGCGAACGGGUGAGUAACACGUGAGCAACCUGCCCCUGACUUCGGGAUAACCGCGGGAAACCGUGGCUAAUACCGGAUAUGACGCGCUAUCGCAUGGUGGUGUGUGGAAAGAUUUAUCGGUUGGGGAUGGGCUCGCGGCCUAUCAGCUUGUUGGUGGGGUGAUGGCCUACCAAGGCGACGACGGGUAGCCGGCCUGAGAGGGUGACCGGCCACACUGGGACUGAGACACGGCCCAGACUCCUACGGGAGGCAGCAGUGGGGAAUAUUGCACAAUGGGCGCAAGCCUGAUGCAGCGACGCCGCGUGAGGGAUGACGGCCGUCGGGUUGUAAACCUCUUUCAGUAGGGAAGAAGGCCUUCGGGUUGACGGUACCUGCAGAAGAAGCGCCGGCUAACUACGUG